rnacentral:lncRNA from 1 species
GAUAAGCGGAACUUACAGAAUCGGCUGGAGAUCAAGUUGAUGCAGCCCCGCCAACCCGUACGAACUCGUGAAAAGAAGAAAAGUAUUGGCGAAAUCGCCUGCUUGAAAGUAAAGUGCGAGGAAAUAGUAGUUUAUUGUAUUGAUUUGAUGAUGAUUAUAGAUCUAUGAAGGCGGCUAUUUAUAGCCUGUUACAACAAAUCUCUUAACCGACUAGGACUCUAUCUCUAAUUUUAAACGAAAACGAAUAUUUACAAGUAGGAUUCAUAUCGAAGUUGACUUCUCUGUUCCGUGGGCCGACCCCUUUUAAUCCUCGUGAUCUACUCUGAGCCCAUAUCAGCCCAACUAUUCCAACCUCUCGAUCGGCCGAUUUCCAUCAACCCCCUUCGCCGAAAC